rnacentral:rRNA from 1 species
AUGGAGGACGACGACGAGUGCCCUCCCCUCGCCGUCGAGCUCCCUCCGCAGACGACCUCUCCUCUGGUCCCCGCUUCCGCCCCCGCCUCCGCCUCCGCGCCGGUCGGCGUCACCGUCAUCACCGGCUACCUCGGCGCCGGCAAGUCCACGUUAGUCAACUACAUUUUGAGUGGACAACAUGGGAAAAGAAUAGCGGUAAUACUGAAUGAGUUCGGAGAGGAAAUUGGAGUAGAAAGAGCAAUGAUCAAUGAGGGGCAAGGUGGUGCCAUUGUUGAGGAAUGGGUGGAGCUAGCAAAUGGAUGCGUUUGUUGCACUGUAAAACACAGCCUGGUUCAAGCACUUGAGCAACUUGUGCAGACUAAGGAGAGAAUGGAUCAUAUAUUAUUGGAGACAACUGGUUUGGCUGAUCCUGCACCACUUGUAUCCAUUCUCUGGCUGGACGAUCAAUUGGAGUCAUCAAUCAGACUAGACUCUAUCAUUACGGUUAUUGAUGCAAAAAACUUCAGGCGGCAAAUUGAUGAACACACGAACUCUUCGUCAUUUCCUGAAGCAUUUCACCAAAUCGCAUUUGCGGAUGUUGUGAUAUUAAACAAAAUUGAUUUAGUAAAAGACAAUCUCGAGGAUUUGGAAAGGCAAAUUCAUGAUGUCAAUGCGCUUGUUACAGUGGUGCGGUCUGUGCGGUGCCAGGUUGACUUAAAUACAAUAUUUGAUCGACAGGCAUAUGGUGUGAAGAAUUCAUCACAACUACAGGAGCUUCUGGAGUACAGUAAAUCAGCACCACCUAAUAGUCGCCAUGAUAACAGUAUUUCCACUUUGUGCAUUUAUGAACAGGAUCCAGUUUGCUUGACUAAGGUGGAAUCAUGGCUUGAAGAUCUUCUUUGGGAGAAGAAAUCCAACAUGGAUAUAUAUCGUUGCAAAGGGAUUUUGAAUAUCCAUGAUUCAAACCAACUUCAUACAUUACAGGCAGUGAGGGAAGUCUAUGAGGUUGUGCCGGCUCGAGAAUGGUCGGAGACACAAUCUCGCAUGAACAAGAUAGUUUUCAUAGGCCGUGAUUUGGAUAUCAGUACCCUUCAAGAUUCAUUUAGUCGCUGCAAGCACUGA